rnacentral:rRNA from 1 species
AUGUCGAGGCCGAGGCUGGACGGCAAGGUGGCCAUCGUCACGGGCGGCGCGAGCGGCAUCGGCGAGGCGGCGGCGCGGCUCUUCGCGGCCAGCGGCGCCACGGUGGUCAUCGCCGACAUCCAGGACGCGCUGGGCGAGGCGGUGGCGGCCUCCAUCGCGGAGUCCGGCGCGUGCUGCACGUACGCGCGGUGCGACGUGACGGACGAGGCCCAGGUGGAGGCGACGGUGGCGGCGGCCGUGGCGGCACACGGCCGCCUCGACGUCAUGCUCAGCAACGCCGGCGUGCUGCUCCCGACGGGCCCCGUCACGGAGAUGGACCUGUCCGCGCUCGACCGCGUCAUGGCCGUCAACUUCCGGGGCGCGGCGGCGUGCGUCAAGCACGCGGCGCGGGCCAUGGUGGCGGCCGGCGUCCGGGGCGCCAUCGUGUGCACGGGGAGCGUGGCGUGCGUGCAGGGCGGGUUCGGCCCGGCCUCCUACACGGCGUCCAAGCACGCGCUGCUGGGCCUGGUGCGCGCCGCGGCGGGCGAGCUCGGGCGGCACGGCGUGCGCGUCAACCUCGUGUCCCCCGGCGGCGUGGCCACGCCGCUCAGCUGCGCGGUGGUGGGCGUGGGCGCCGAGGAGAUGGAGGCCAUGACGGAGGCCCACAACGUGCUGCGCGGGAAGGUGCUGCGCGCGGCCGACGUGGCGGAGGCGGCGCUGUUCCUCGCGUCUGACCAGGCGGGCUUCAUCAGCGGCCACAACCUCGUCGUCGACGGCGCCACCACCGCCGUCAACCCCGCCGUGCUGCGCUCCAUCGGGCUGUGA